AGAAUAAUCUCGGGAAACUGAGGAUAAUACUCGAUAGACCAUCAUUCCUGGAAUGGUUGGUGGUUGAAAUGAUUCGUCGCCAUAGGAUAGGACCGCGGCCUAUCAGCUUGUUGGUGAGGUAAUGGCCCACCAAGGCGAUUACAGGUACGGGCUCUGAGAGGAGAAGCCCGGAGAUGGGUACUGAGACACGGACCCAGGUCCUAUGGGGCGCAGCAGGCGAGAAAACUUUGCAAUGUGCGAAAGCACGACAAGGUUAAUCCGAGUGUUUUCUGCUAAAGAAAUCUUUUGCCAGUCAUAAAACCACUGGUGAAUAAGGGGUGGGCAAGUUCUGGUGUCAGCCGCCGCGGUAAAACCAGCACCUCAAGUGGUCAGGAUGAUUAUUGGGCCUAAAGCAUCCGUAGCCGGCUAUGUUAGUUUUCGGUUAAAUCCAUGUGCUCAACACAUGGGCUGCCGAAAAUACUGCAUAGCUAGGGAGUGGGAGAGGUAGACGGUACUCAGUAGGAAGGGGUAAAAUCCUUUGAUCUAUUGAUGACCACCUGUGGCGAAGGCGGUCUACCAGAACACGUUCGACGGUGAGGGAUGAAAGCUGGGGGAGCAAACCGGAUUAGAUACCCGGGUAGUCCCAGCUGUAAACGAUGCAGACUCGAUGAUGCAUUGGCAUAUAGCCAGUGCAGUGUCGCAGGGAAGCCGUUAAGUCUGCCGCCUGGGAAGUACGUACGCAAGUAUGAAACUUAAAGGAAUUGGCGGGGGAGCACCACAAGGGGUGAAGCCUGCGGUUCAAUUGGAUUCAACGCCGGGA
rnacentral:rRNA from 1 species